GAGUUUGAUCCUGGCUCAGGAUGAACGCUAGCUACAGGCUUAACACAUGCAAGUCGAGGGGCAUCAGGAAGAAAGCUUGCUUUCUUUGCUGGCGACCGGCGCACGGGUGAGUAACACGUAUCCAACCUGCCGAUGACUCGGGGAUAGCCUUUCGAAAGAAAGAUUAAUACCCGAUGGUAUAUCUGAAAGGCAUCUUUCAGCUAUUAAAGAAUUUCGGUCAUUGAUGGGGAUGCGUUCCAUUAGGUUGUUGGCGGGUAACGGCCCACCAAG
rnacentral:rRNA from 1 species